AUUUGCUGAGAUUUGUUUUGUGGCCUAACAUCUGAUCUACCCUGAAGACACUUCCAUGUGCUGAUGGGGAGAAUGCAUACUCUUCAACUGUUGAGUGGGAUGUUCUGUGAAUAUCUGGUAAAAAAACUGAGGCUUAGAAACAUUGAAAAAAACUUGCUCAACGUUGCAAAACAAGAAAUUUGUGACACUGGAAUUGACAUCUACAAGGGACUGAUGUAACUAAUUGCUGGAUACAUGUCCCUCAAAGACACAGAAACAGAUCUUGUAUUCUAGUGGAUCUCCGGCACCCAGUGAGGGCCUGAAACAGAGUACAUGUCCAACAAAUAAUUAUUGAAGUAAAGAUUGACAUUUCAGGAGCAGAGAUUAAUAUUCAAAAACAAAGAUGAGAAUUUUGGCAGAAAAGUCAAAAUGAGGUUCCAACGUGGCUCAACAUGGCAGUUGCUGAUCCUGACUUUGCUUAAAAUUUGGUACUUUGUUUAUCACAAAUUUUAAAAUUAAUUUUGAUUUCUCAAAAUAUUGAUUAAAAUGUUUAUCUCUACUAUUGAGUUUUUGGGCACGCCUUUAAAUUUUGCAUGCAAGAUAAGCACCUUCCUCAGUUGUAGGAUGUUGACGGUGAUAAGGACAUUAGCAAAGGAAAUAUUGAAAAG
rnacentral:lncRNA from 10 species